rnacentral:snoRNA from 1 species
AAAUCAUGUGAUGAGAGAAAAACUGCAACAAUAUGAUCGGUAAAUUACCUCUGAUUCGUAGUAUUUAAGUCUCUGAUGAUU